rnacentral:rRNA from 1 species
AGGGUUCGAUUAUGGCUCAGGAUGAACGCUGGCGGCGUGCUUAACACAUGCAAGUCGAGCGAAGCGAUUUAAGUGAAGUUUUCGGAUGGAUCUUAAAUUGACUGAGCGGCGGACGGGUGAGUAACGCGUGGAUAACCUGCCUCACACAGGGGGAUAACAGUUAGAAAUGACUGCUAAUACCGCAUAAGCGCACGGUACCGCAUGGUACAGUGUGAAAAACUCCGGUGGUGUGAGAUGGAUCCGCGUCUGAUUAGGUAGUUGGUGGGGUAACGGCCUACCAAGGCGAUGAUCAGUAGCCGGUCUGAGAGGAUGAGCGGCCACAUUGGGACUGAGACACGGCCCAG